rnacentral:rRNA from 1 species
UAACGCGUGGGUAACCUGCCCUUUUGUGGGGAACAACUUCGAGAAAUCGGAGCUAAUACCGCAUAAUAAUAGAGGAUCGCAUGAUUCUUUAAGGAAAGAUGGCCUCUGAAGAUGCUAUCGCAAAAGGAUGGACCCGCGUCUGAUUAGCUAGUUGGAAGGGUAACGGCCUACCAAGGCAACGAUCAGUAGCCGGCCUGAGAGGGUGAACGGCCACAUUGGGACUGAGACACGGCCCAAACUCCUACGGGAGGCAGCAGUGGGGAAUCUUCCGCAAUGGGCGAAAGCCUGACGGAGCAAUGCCGCGUGAGUGAAGAAGGCCUUCGGGUUGUAAAACUCUGUCCUUAUCGAAGAGAGGUAGGUAUGUGAAUAAUGUACCUAUAGGACGGUAGAUAAGGAGGAAGCCCCGGCUAACUACGUGCCAGCAGCCGCGGUAAUACGUAGGGGGCGAGCGUUGUCCGGAAUCACUGGGCGUAAAGGGCGCGUAGGCGGUUUAAUAAGUCAGUGGUGAAAACUGAGGGCUCAACUCUCAGCCUGCCACUGAUACUGUUAGACUUGAGUAUGGAAGAGGAGAAUGGAAUUCCUAGUGUAGCGGUGAAAUGCGUAGAUAUUAGGAGGAACACCAGUGGCGAAGGCGAUUCUCUGGGCCAAGACUGACGCUGAGGCGCGAAAGCGUGGGGAGCAAACAGGAUUAGAUACCCUGGUAGU